rnacentral:lncRNA from 1 species
UCUUGAUCUCUUUGGCUACUUCACUAAAAUUGUAAUACGCCAAGCCGGUGGCGGAUUUAAAGGCGAGGAGAAGAGCUGAUGUUAUUGGUCAAUACAGGUCUCGGCUGUGUUACAGUAAAUCCACUCCACGCCCUCUCUCCUCCCUAGCUAUGACUUACGCCGCUGGGAGGAGCUGAGUUAGGGAGGGGGGACACUUACGCCGGGCUGUGCCGCUCACCAUAAUACAAAAAUUGUACUUGGGAACGCCUUGUCGGCGCAGCUUUUUUCGUGCCUCGCCAGAGAUGGUCGUGGUGGCGCCCAGCUUGGCGGCUCUCGGUGCGCCUCAGUCCACGAAAAUACCAAACUGGCUGUACACCGGGCUCCGCCAGAUGUAAAUACAACUGUGCGGGGUCCGCCACUCUCCGCCGCUUCCCCGGAGUCCACGAAAAUAGAGCCCAGAGUGUCUUCAUGUUCUUAGGCAUAGGAUACAGUGCAGGUAUGGACAGCCCACAGUAACCAUUGACUUUAUGUAGAUAUGGACAACAGGACUUUCUAUCCUCCUUUCCUAUUAUAAAGAAUAGGGCUAAAACGGACACUGACAUACUGCACUAGUGACACAUUUUGGAGCCAAAAUAUAAUGGCAUAUCCCUCUGCCAACGUUUGCACAUAGUAAUCUUCCUUAUAAAGAUCCCUCAGGUUUGUACACUUCUUAGCAAAAUGGAUCUCUGUGCCUGUUUGAAGCAGUUUCUCAUUGAAAAUUGAGUCAAUCCUCUGUGACAGGAUGUCACGUCCCCUCCUUUCUGGCAUUAAAGAAUAAAUCAAAAUUAAAUGAAAAUAAACACAUGCACUUAAAGUUCCUGUGAGGAGUUUUGUUUUAAAUGUUUUAUGUUUUAAAAAGUAAAUUGGAAAGCUGUCUUCUCAUGAUAUUGAAAGCAAACAAGACCAUCAGCGACAUUCUUUACAAUUGUUUUAUCAUAAUUUGUAAUGACUGAGGCCAAUGUGAGGGGGGUAGGUGUCAGCCAAGCAGCUGAGGAUACAGCCUGGUUUAUACAGUUUCCACUUAAAGUAUUGAUAAUCAAUGAUUUAUAUUACUGUCAGAAGUCAGCAAGAUGAGAUUUUCCUGUCAAAAGGAACUACUGAAACAUUGGCUCAUCAGCACAGUCCAUCAUCCAACACCUUAUUAAAGAUUAAACCAGCGCAAGACACUAGUUUGACAUAACUGUGCUGAGGUGGAAAGUAUUUGUUGUUCAUGAAGGACAGAACUCUCGUAGUCAUUUUUAUAAGAUGGUACCUUAGAGAGCUGUUUAAAAGCUGAAGGAGCCCCUCUGUGUCCAACCAAAUGAUCUCAAACCCUAGACAAACCUGAAAUUCCCAUCACCAGAAGCAUAUGCUGAAGUUGUUGGCUUUGGAAAGAAGAAAAUUCCAAACGCUGCUCUUACAUAGUAACACAGAUCACAAACAACUUGAGCAGGAGUGUAUGGGCUUUGUAGAUUUCAAGUAAUCCGAGGAUCUGCAUGGAUAUAAUGUGUGUGAAUCAUUCACUGCAGCAGUAAAUUGGCAAACUCCUGUGUUUUUUGCAGGUUUUUAGCUACUGUCAACCUGAAUUAAGUUUGACCAAAUUAACUGAUGAAUUGUUAUCAAAGAUAAUGCCUUUUUUUGCUCAAUAAAGGUUGACAGAGUUCAAUUUUGAUUAUUUAAACUAUGCUCUGACUUCAGGGAAAUGAGGGAAGUUUCUUUCUCAGUUGUUUUUGACUGUGACUGAAAUGAACAUCAGCCAACUCUUCUCCUUUUACUUAUCACAUGAAUACCAUUGUAACAACACAACAACCAGAUAGGGGAAGCACCAACAGUUUUGGCUUCAUCUUUACAGAACUAUCAGGUUGUCCAUUUUUAAUACAGCCUAUGGCAGUUACCCAAAGAAGAAGGAGGCAAGAUAUCCACAACUAAAUAUGGUUGACAGUACUGAAAAGGGCCAAAGCCAGCCAAAGGAUAGCAAUUCUUUGAUGAAAGGAUGUUGUAAACAUCAGUAAUAGUUGUCUGCCUGGGAAGGAAUCUGUGACAAGUUUUGUGUCUGAAUAAGCCAGUGCAUUACCACAGCCAAAUGUCUCUUGGAAAUCCAGUCCUGUUUAACAUUCAUAACAGUCUCACAGAGUAGAUUAGAUAAAAACACUCAGAUGCUUUAGCAUAAACAAGUGAAAUUAAACUGCAGAUUGGCAUCACAAAACACAGUCAUUCCAGAGGGAUGCAUUUACAACCAUUAUGCAGUGUUUGACAAUUGCACUCUAUUUCCACUUGCUGCUCUCUCCCGUUUUCUCAAUGACUUUGCAACACUCUACAAACUCUUAAUAUUGAAAGUGGCGACAGCCUGUGUUAUCUCUCUGCCUCCUCUUUCUCUUUAUUCUUCUCACACGCUCCCUUAUGAAUGCCAACACACAGUGAUCUCUCUUAUUGUGCUGCAGAUUAUUCUGCUCAUGACAAGAGAUUUAGGAGUGUACGGCUGGUGCAUUGGCUCUAAUAGCCUACAGAAGCCCAAAGAGAGAACUGAACAAUAAAUCUCUCAUUUGUGACUGUUAAAUAAUACUAAUUAAUAAGAAGAAUUAGCAUUCAAAAACAUUAUUUUUUUUGAAGCAAUUGUGUGUGUUUGUUUAUAGUUCUCAAGCUGGUACCAAAUCAUUUAGUUGAACCAGCAAACCACAAAGUUGCAGCCCAAGGAGUCCUUGCAGGAAAUCAAAGGAUUCAACAUAUAAAAUAGAAUAGUCCUUUAUUGCCAUUGUAACAGGUACAACGAAAUUUGAAUACAUGAAAGUAUUGAUCAAAUGAGAUUCAGGUUUUGUUUUUGUUUUUGUAGUUAGGCAUGAUGUGUAAUAAAACAGUGGUGGUUUAGAUACAAAGGUAGUGGACUUUUUAUAAUAUAAAAAACAAUAUUUCAUACCUUUAGCUAUUUGUAAAACUUUGAAUGUGAUCGACUUCUCUAAGCCUAAUGGAUAGGUUGGAUGAGGUCAAAUUUUGCAGCUUUGAAUUUCUUUGUGAGUAAAGUUUUGAAAUGUUUGUGGACAUGAUUUUGCACCUGGAAAGACACCAAAAGGAAUCUGUGACAUUUCUUCUUUAACUGCCAUGAUAACGAGCGUAGUGUCUAGUGUUUCUACAGAUAAAUGCAUCUUUUUCUUUCACUUUUAAACUUCAUCUCAAUGUGCUUCAAAGAUUUGAUACAAAGCAUUUUAUAGAAGAAAACUGAUCACAUGUAUUGAAUUGUCCAGUUUGCAACACCAAGUUUGAAAAGAAACUCAUCAGGGAACAAAAAUAUUAGCGUUCAUUGCUUAAUAUCAUGUGCCUUUGAUCGGCAAGAGAUGCUUUAAUUUCAAUAUGAAAUGGUAAACCAAAAAAAGCAAAAAAAAAGCUGAUAAAGCUCCAAUUUCUUCUAUCGCACUAUAACAGAUAAGAUCAAUUACCCACUACUAUUUUAUAAACCAAACACAUGUGGGUUUUGUCUAGAUCUGAAAGCAAUCAAGAGUGUUUAGACUACACGUGGAUGAUUGUUGUUCAUGGCAGUUUAAAUGCCAGUAAAAAUCAAUAGAAGGACAACUUCAAGCGAAAAUACAUAAAACAAACAAACAAACAAACAAUUGUUUUAGAUAGCCUUGCUUACUUAGCCACAGUUUGUGUGGUGAACCAUAUGUUUAAAAAUAGAGGCAAACGUAUGCUUUAGAACCAAUGUGAAUGCACCACUAGUAAAGCAAAUGUUAACAAUGGAAAGAUUAUUUGCUGGAAUAAAAGCAAUAUGAUAGUGCACAUAGAAUAAAUUAAUGUAUUGUUUCAACCUGCAAAGCUCACUGGUGCUUUGAUUUAAUGGAGAAUGUUAGAUAGGUGCUUUGAACUAUUAAGUCUUUUAAAAGGGCAAAUGUAUAUGACUUGCACACAAACCAAGAAGAUCAGUGGGCUAAAAAUUCAAAAAGCCAUGCACCAUAAUAAGCUUAACUAUUGAUAUGCCAGAUUUAACCAUCUUAAAAAAAAUCCCCAUUUGACAAGAAUAAAUGCAAUGAGUAUUUCAGCCAUUAUUCAAAGACUUUGCUGCACACUGACACACACAAAAAAAACAACUAAAUGUGUGACAAAGAACGUUAGUCGGUUAUCCGUGGUAGAUUUUAUCAACCUGUAACAUGUUGAAAAGUCAUUUUGAUUACAGUUGGUCUUAUUUGCAGUAUGAAGAGUCUUCCUCAUAGCAUGAAUCUUUUUCAUCUGUUCAGAUAUUUGCAUGAUAAAACAUUUGUGCAGAACUACUGUGCCACGAUCUAAUGCUCAUACCUUACACUGUUGUACAUAUAGGUUUAAAGUGGUGCCCUUGCUCUUUUCUUCAUUCUAUGUGAGUCUUUUAAAUUAACCUGGUAUAUAAGUAGAGGAGGCAUUGGUGGUAUGUGCAUUCUCCGUCUUAUUGUCUAUAAAACAUGGCAUUACAAUUUGCAGUACAAAAUGCAUUAUUGCAUGAGUAGGGCCCGUACCUUACCUUAUAAAGAGGUCUCAACUCACAGUUUGAAAACAACCUGAUUUGGUUGGACUGUGUGCCGUUUACUGUGUACAUUAUUUAUAUACAAUUUUAGAUGGUUCAGUAAGGGACUGCCCAUUGUUUUGAGAGACCAUAAAACCAAAAUCCUAAUAGUCAUAAGAGGUGUAAUGGAGUUGAACAAGAAAUGUCAAAGGCAGAUAUACUCCUGCUGUCUAAAUGAGUGUCUUGGUUCAAUUUGCAUUUAACUGAUUUGAAUUAUUAUCAAGGUGGUUUUCUGCUGUCCUGUGAGGUACCAUUACAUCCCCAUUUGUUAGGGUUGGUGGCUGAGGAAUGCAGUUUGAGUGUCAGAGUUAUAGAAGAACAAGUAUGUCAGCAUGUGUGUAUAAAAAGAGACAACUCCUGUAAUUCAGCACCAUGGACAGAGCCAGCAGUCAUCCUGUAAAACCUACAGGGUGAAUGAGUUUUAGCAAAGAUCUGUGUCAACAAGUUUUGGGACUUUGGGGUAUUCUGAAUAAUGGGCUUUUGUGUUCUGGAUCAUAGGCUGUCAGGCACAUAUGUUCUUGGUCCAUUGGGGGUUUCUACAGACUGUUAGGGUUUCAUAUAAAUGGCCUUUCAGAACAAUGGUAUGGCACAGUAAGGUUGACAUUAUAUGCAAUGUAUGAUUUUUUUUAAUAGAAUAAAUAAAAUACAAAAGUGUUGCAAACUACUGUUUCGUAAGAUUUGCACAGAAUUGCUGAAUUGUGAAUGUUAUGUAUUGUUCAAUUUUCCAGUAAAUUCUUCAAACCUUUCAUUUAUGCAGAACUAGUGCAUACAGACACUCAUUUGCACAAAAAAUGUUUUUAAGGUUUGAUAUCAUUUGGAAAGAUCUUACUUCAAGAAAAAGCUUACCCUUUCACUCAAAAUGAACACUCAUGGCCUUGUUUCUUUGUGCAUGACUCUUUUGACUACUGUACCUUUAAAAAUAUUUUUUGGCAUGUUUCUUAUUCUCUUACCUGUUCAAGUCUUGUCAAAUUUUAAUGCAAUAAAAUAAUGUUUGGGUGUCUACAUUUCUUCCUUUCAUUGACACAUAGAAUCAAACAAUGAAGCAUCACUCCUUGGUCUAUAGUAAUAAACUAGACCAGUGCUAACUCAAAAUCCAAAACAGAACAGAAAAAGUAUAAAAGACUUCAGCUAAUGAAAGUUGGGUUAAUUUUCAUUGCUUGAUUGCUAGCGGGCUAGAGAUUAUUGCUGACUUCCAAACAAAAUCUCAUAGUUUAACUAUUAGCGAAAAAAAUGUAUCACAUAUCUGUAUCACUAAAGCAAAGAUAGGCCACAAAGUUAUUAAAUUAUUAGAAGAAUAGUAAUAGCAAAACAAUACAAACUUUAUAAUUUGAAAAAAUUAAAUGUAGGAGAUUUAAGGGUCUGUGUGGCUUAUUAGCCACAUUAGUGAUAUCUG